AAGUUGGCUGUGUACCUGGGAACACUUUGAGUCCAAGCACAAGGACUUCCCUGGAGAAAGAUAAAGCACCUGCAUGUCUGCAGCUCACAUUCCAGGAAAAUCUGGAGAUCUUUCCUAAGAGUCUAAGUACAAGGAAAUGACCUAGAGGCCUUACAAAUACAUUUGUGCAUUUUUGUUCUGAGUCUGCAAUUGAGGGCAAACGCAGUCUGGAAGCACCACUUCUGAAAGUUACAACGGAAACAACUACCUCAACAAACAGGGAAAGGGGAAGAAGGCUUGCAAUAAGAAACACUCUAGUUUUUAAUAGCUUAUACUUGCAAAGUCUUCUGUGAAAAGUCCAGAUUUUUUUCCCCCCCUCCAAUAUUAAGAAGAGACACUACAAGUGAACUGAGUUGGCAGACUGGAUCUGUCAAGACAUUUGAAGAUAUUUGAUCUGCUGACAUAAGGAUUUGCUUUUUCAAGGAAAGAGCCUCUGCACUGCUUUUAUAAUCGCUGUUGAUCGGUGGUUUUCUCCACUUUUCCUGAUACUACUACCGGGAGAAUCGUGUUAAGGUUUUGCUUCUAAAGCUGUUACUUGCAUUGACAAAAUUAACUUUUGUAGAUGCAACGGCAAGGGACGACGUUGCGCUGGUGAAGACCUUGGAGGAGAUCCCUUCUCUGCUCCAGUUGGCUUUUCUGCCUGCAGAGGGGACAGAGCAUUACUGAGAUACUUGGGCUUGCUUUUUGAGUACAGUUUAUAACUGCAGCAGGGCUGCACCCAACGUUGAAAGCACGGAGUCAGCAGAUCGGCUGCCGUUCCCACUGCUGAUACAGAUUAUAGAGAGCUUGCCUUUCUGAAAUGCCUUUUGUGAAGCCUACGUACGCAGUCCUGCGCCGUUACUGUACAUAGAUACCCGGGGAAGGACUUUGACAAGUGAUUGUUAAUUGGAGAACUCUCUGGACGAGCACUCACUUAUGUAUUGCUGCAGUGCACAAGAAAGCAAAAUGGACUACAAGCGGCGCUUUUUGCUUGGCGGGUCCAAGCAGAAGGUGCAGCAACACCAGCAGUACCAAAUGCCCGAGCUGGGCAGGACCCUGAGCGCGCCGCUGGCGUCCCCCAGCACCCCCCUGGUGUCCCCGGCUGCUGCGGGCGGCUGCUCCCACCCCGCCUCCCACACCACUCCCAUCGCCGACAUCCAGCAGGGAAUCUCCAAGUACCUGGAUGCGCUCAACGUCUUCUGCCGAACGAGCACUUUCCUCACGGACCUUUUCAGCAGCGUGUUCAGGAACUCGCACUACUCCAAGGCAGCUAUGCAACUGAAAGACGUGCAGGAACAUGUCAUGGAAGCGGCCAGUCGACUCACAGCAGCAAUAAAACCAGAAAUAGCAAAAAUGCUGAUGGAGCUGAGCGCGGGAGCUGCGAACUUCAAGGAUCAAAAAGAGUUCAGCCUACAAGACAUUGAGGUGCUUGGGCGAUGUUUCUUGACAGUGAUGCAGGUCCACUUCCAGUUCCUGUCCCAAGCUUUGCAGAAAGUCCAGCCAGUGGCCCACUCCUGCUUUGCUGAAGCUGUAGCUCAGGAGAGGAAGAACAUUAGUGGGACUGGAGCCUCAAAUAUAAACCCCACAAAUGAGCUGGAAGAUGCAAUAAGAUCAUGGAGAGGAGCAGCAGAGGCCACAUCCCGACUGCGAGAAAGAGGCUGUGAUGGAUGUUUGGCAGGAAUUGAAGUUCAGCAGCUUUUCUGCUCACAGAGUGUGGCCAUCCCUGAACAUCAGCUCAAAGAGCUGAACAUGAAAAUUGACAGUGCUUUGCAGGCUUACAAGGUGGCUCUGGAGAGCUUGGGUCACUGUGAAUAUGCAAUGAAGGCUGGCUUCCACUUGAACCCAAAAGCAAUUGAAGCAAGUCUUCAGGGCUGUUGCAGUGAAGCUGAAGCUCAGCAAACAGGAAGGAGACAGACUCCACCUCAGCCCAUUCAGUGUGAGCUGCCCACUGUCCCAGUCCAGAUUGGAUCCCAUUUUCUGAAAGGAAUCUCCUUCAAUGAGUCUGCAGCAGAAAACCUGAAGCUGAAAACGCACACAAUGCUGCAGUUGAUCAAGGAAGCUGGAUGCCACAAUGGACUCACCCCCCGGGACGACUCCCCCGUGACUGAAGUGCUGAACCAGGUCUGCCCUUCCACGUGGAGAGGAGCCUGCAAAACUGCUGUGCAGCUCUUGUUUGGCCAGGCUGGACUGGUGGUUGUGGACACGGCACAGAUUGAAAAUAAAGAAGCCUAUGCUCCUCAGAUAAGUUUAGAAGGAUCAAGAAUUGUGGUGCAAGUUCCAUCAACAUGGUGUCUGAAAGAAGAUCCAGCAACAAUGUCUUUGCUACAGAGGAGUCUGGAUCCGGAGAAGACUUUGGGGCUGGUGGAUGUGCUCUAUACUGCUGUGUUUGAUAUACACAGGUGGAAGGAAGGAAGGGAGCAAGCUUUGCCUUGUAUUCAGAUCCAGUUACAACGUGAAAUCUCAGAAUUUGGGAGCCAAGUUGACAUGCCACCGGGGAAUGGAAGCAAAUCUUCAGGGGGUCUGCAAAAGACAUUCUCCAAACUGACUUCACGGUUUACAAAAAAAACUUCCUGCACUAGUACAAGUAACACAGGAAGUUACUCAAUCCCCAAUACACCUUCCAAAAACGUCUUCAUAAGUUCCAGCUCAGAGGAGAAAGCUAAAAUGCCCACUAACAUGGACGCCCGGCUGCAGAACAUCCUGAACAUGGGGAGCUUCCCUCGGAGCGCGGAUGCCCUGCAGCCAGUGCAGAGCACACCCAACCAGCUCGUCAAUGGCUUUCUGGUGGAGAGACGGGACAGCUUCUUCAAACCAGAUGAUGGCAAGGAUGACAAAGGUAUGAAUUUACCAACUGACCAAGAAAUGCAGGAUGUUAUAGAUUUCUUGUCUGGUUUUAACAUGGGCAAAUCCCAGCAGACUUCUCCGAUGGUGAAAAGAAGGAACUCUGUUGCAUCCUCUACAGCAGCGGAACAGAAGCCGGGAGCAGUUCAACAGCAGCCACAGUCUGUGUCUCACACCCCGCUGCAUCCUCCUCAGCAGGGCUUGUCCCAGCAGCAGUCCCAAAAGCAGCAGCAGCAAAUGCAGUAUUACCAACACCUGCUUCAACCUAUUGGACCACAGCAACGUGUACCUGCCAAAUGGCUCAGUAAUUCUUCACAGCAGCAAGCUCCGGCUGUUGGAGCUGGGUUGUCUCAUAUAAAUCAGUGGAACAAUCCUGGUUUUUCAGAUUUAAGCUCUGAUUUGUACAGCUUGGGUCUUGUGAGCAGCUAUAUGGACAAUAUGAUGGCAGAGAUGCUAGGACAGAAACCACAAGGACCUAGAAACAACACAUGGCCAAAUCGUGACCAAACUGAUGGAGUGUUUGGGAUGUUGGGAGAAAUCCUGCCUUUUGACCCUGCAGUUGGCUCUGAUCCAGAGUUUGCCCGCUAUGUUGCUGGGGUGAACCAGGCUAUGCAGCAGAAGAGGCAAGCACAGCACGUCCGGCGUCCAAGCACCACGCGUGGCAACUGGCCUCUUCCUGAUGAUCCUCAUAAAACCUGGCCCUUCCCUGAGUAUUUCACAGAGGGUGAUGUGACAAACAGCUGGUCUGGUACUCAAGGAGACUCUGCCAGCUCAAGUGAUGAGACCUCCUCAGCUAACGGAGACAGUUUGUUCUCCAUGUUCUCAGGGCCAGACCUUGUUGCUGCUGUAAAGCAGAGGAGAAAACACAGCAGUGGUGAACAGGAACCCAGCACGCUGCCAUCGCCUCCACUUCUUUCUGCAGCCGAUGACCGCAGUCAGGAUAACAAGACCAAAACGUGGCCUCCCAAGGCCCCGUGGCAGCACACGUGCUCUGUGCCCAGCACGCUGCCCAGCCAGAGCACGUCCCUGUACCCCAUGAGCAGCCCCGUGAGCCAGUGGAGCGACACCAUGCAGAUGCUGCAGUCGCCCAUGUGGGCCAGUGACUGCGGCCCGGCAGGCGGCCUCUCCUCCGGCUUCGCCUACGCGCAGCAGCAGCAGCAGCAGCCCCAACAGGCUUCCCAGCACAAACAGAUCAACAAGGGCUUUAAAUCCUUCCCAGUAAAGCACGAGCGCAGACCAUCUUAUCUGCACCAGUACUGACUGCUUCUGGUACUGGAAAAUGCAGCACAGGGCCAAAUGAAAACUACAUUACUUUGAUUCACAGUGCUGUGUUGGCUAUAUCCUGUUCCUCUCUUGAUGUGGGAUUGAGGGGGUUUGGGUGAGAUAGACAAACUCUCGGAUUCUGAGUUACAGUGCUGAGCAAAUAUGGCCAAUAUGUUUGGUGUACAAUGAAACAGCCCAAAACUGUGAUGUAGAAAUGCUUUUAAAAAUGUGUAAUUGCCUUUACUUUCAAGACAUUUUUUUUUUUCUAAAAAGAACUGCUGAAGGACUACCAUACAAGAAACACUGUAUUUUAUAGCUAUUUUUCAUAUAGAUUUAUAGUUAAAACAUCUUACUGAAACACAUUGAAUAUGUUGAAGCAAAUAUAUAGUGGUCACUUUGCUCAACACUGUUUGUGUUUAAAUUUAUAAAGGACAAGCUGUAGAACCUUUAUAUUCUCCAUUACAGCCUGUGGGCAGCUUUUUUAAAAUGAAGUGCAACAGCAGCUUUUCCUGUGCCACACAAGCGAGUUCAUUUGGGAACUGCUGCAGAAACAGUCACAAAACUGAGUUUUGUGGCAGUUUCCUUACUGUAGGUGAAAAUCAGCAGAACCACUCAGCCUUGUGUUGUCAAUGUGACCUGAGCUGCUUGACAUAGAUGGCACCUGUGUGGACAAUGGGGCUCUGGUUCUUACACAUCUAUGUGGACAGAGGGACCCUGGUUCUCACACAUCUGUGUGGACAGUGGGGCCCUGGUUCUCACACACCUGUGUGGACAGUGGGGCCCUGGUUCUCACACACCUGUGUGGACAGAGGGACCCUGGUUCUUACACACCUGUGUGGACAGAGGGACCCUGGUUCUCACACAAACUGUGUGGACAGUGGGACCCUGGUUCUCACACACCUGUGUGGACAGAGGGGCCCUGGUUCUCACACACUGUGUGGACAGAGGGACCCUGGUUCUCACACACCUGUGUGGACAGAGGGACCCUGGUUCUCACACACCUGUGUGGACAGAGGGACCCUGGAUCUCACACAAACUGUGUCCUAUGGCUGCAUUUGGCCAGAGGCACUAUCCACAAGGCGCUCCCACAGUGUGUGAAAGCAAAGCCUGAGACUACUUGCAUUUAUUUAAAGUCUUAUUUCAGAUGCUACAGUUGAUUAAAAAUUGUGAGCUGGCUCAGAAGAUAGUAAAACUGAAAUGUGGGGUAGCAGUUAGUUAAAAGAACAUUAUUUUUUUUAAAAGGAUAAAGUAAUUAUUUGCAGUCAAUAUGUGCCAUUAAGUGAACCUGUGGAAUUAGGAAUAAUCUUCCAACCAAAGUGGAUGGGGGCGAGUGACUGGUGCUUACAAAUUCAAGAACAAUGGUAAAUAUGUAUACCUAUCCCACUGUAUAUGAAUUGAGAUUACAGAAGAUUCUUUAUAUAGUUAGAGCUUAUUUAAAUUUUCAUAUUUCAUCUUUGAAAGAGUCUAAAAACCACAAUAUUUUCUGGUAUAAGAGUUUUGACAGUAUUAAUCUUAUUUUUGUAUUUUUCUUAAGUCAUAUCAUUCUAAUAUGUUAACUACUAGUAAAAUGGGUUAUUAGUUCUAACAACAUACUUUUUCAAUGAAGAUAAAGCACAUUUUUUGGUUUUGGUUUUACAAACUAAGUACAUCUAUAUCUAAAGAUACCAAAAAAUAUAGACAUUAUAUAUAUAUAUAUAUAUAUAUAUAUAUAUAUAUAUAUAUAUAAAAGUAUACACAACACUAAAACUAUUAAACAUUUGGGUAUUUAAAACCCAUCCACCUUUUUUGUUUGUAUGGUGACGGGCUCUAUUUGCAGGCCCAGAUUGUUACUUUUUGUGCUGUUUGAGGAUGCCAAUGUUGCCUGUAUUUAUGAUAUUGUCACCAUGUUUUCUGAAACUUCAUACUUACCAUGUUUACAAAGAUUUGUUUGCUGUACAUAGACUUUUUACAGUAAUGUGCUUUGCACAAUCAGUGUGGCUUCUGUCUGUAAAUUGUUAAUGGUCUGUACUACUAUAAUUUUGAAAACCUUCCACUGAAAAUGUUAGUGGUUAUUUAACUUCAUGAUGGUUUCAAGUUUCCUAAAUCUUGUUGUUUAGAUCUAAUAUUAAAUCCCGAAUUUGGUUGUACUUACUUGGUUAUUCAUACUAAGACCAAAAUGGAAGUUAAUGAAAACAACUUAAUUUUGAACUUCUUUUCUAACAAGUGCCAAAAUGAUUGCUAUAGUUUUUGCAGUUUAUUCAUAAUUACAAAUGCUGGCAAGUUUCUGGACCUACAUAAGUGAAUUGUGAACACAAAGAAAGUUUGUCUGCAUUUUGACCACGUGGGUGCUACUCUGUCCUUUGCUUCCGAUUGUUCUGAACACUGGUAAUUUUAAGAAUUGUUGCACUUGGCAAAUGAGUCUUGCCCUUAAACUUCACUUACACUGCCAAGUGCAAGGGUUUGGUGCUUAGUUAACUUACCCUUAUUGCAGUGCUUCUUGUGAAUAGCUAACGCUUCUGAACUGGAACUGUACAGUUUGUAUUUUAAAGCUUCUGUAAAAGUAAACUAUUUGCUUUAUUAAAGAUAUACAUUUAAUAGGUCAUACCUGUUUAAAAUAUGCACCUUGCUGAAAACGAGCAGCACCUUAAACUGUAACUUCGGUUUGUAAACAAAGAUCUUAUCACAUUAACAUGGGAUUAUUUAAGAGUUUGAAAA